rnacentral:tRNA from 1 species
GGCGAGUUAUCCAGUCUGGGACUGGCUACCGUUGCUAGCGGCUAGGCAUCUUCGGGUGUGUGGUUCGACUCCUCAACUCGCCG